AUUGAACGCUGGCGGCAGGCCUAACACAUGCAAGUCGAACGAGUGGCGGACGGGUGAGCAAUGUAUGGGCAAAUGCCUGAUGGAGGGGGAUAACUACUGGAAACGGUAGCUAAUACCGCAUCACAUCGGAUGUGCCCAGAUGGGAUUAGCGAGUAGGUGGGGUAAAGGCUAAUCUAGGCGACGAUACGUAGCUGGUCUGAGAGGAGGACCAGCAACACUGGAACGGAGACACGGUCCAGACUCAUACGGGAGGCAGCAGGGGGGAAUAUUGCACAAUGGGCGCAAGCCUGAUGCAGCCAUGCCGCGUGUAUGAAGAAGGCCUUCGGGUUGGAAAGUACUUUCAGCGGGGAGGCGUUACCCGCAGAAGAAGCACCGGCUAACUCCGUGCCAGCAGCCGCGGUAAUAC
rnacentral:rRNA from 1 species